rnacentral:lncRNA from 1 species
CCAAGGCAAUCACAUGUUUAUUCAUAGUGGAUGCUAUAUUCAUCUCUUACUGCAAAAUACACAAACUUUUUUCCCCCAUCUGGAACAAAACAUGUACUACCUGGCGCACAGAGUGCCUGCCAGAGUUCUACGUCGGCCACUCCAGAGAACUGUGCAGAGACCGAAAGAAAAGCAGAGACAAACAAAGAGCAGGUUUAUCUGAGGCAAAGCUUCCCCACUUGUGAACAUAGCUGUGCUCCUCCUGUGCCACAGCAGCCCCAUGAGGUGCUGCUGUGGCACAGCCAGGCCCUGCCUCCCUCCCAGCCGCUGUGCCAGGCAGGGGAGGUGUGUUCGCCAUUGCCCCCUUCCCCGCCCAGAACCUAGCAGUGCCUCGCUCUGAGCCCCCAGGCUGCAGGAGGAUUGGGACAGAGGUUACUGCACUCUGGAGAGGAGCGCAGAGAAGUGGGAUCCUUGCCUCCCCCCACGGGUGGCUUCUGUCAAGACAAGAGCUGCCCAGUGGUGCCCCAAGCAAGCAGGGUGGGUGCCCUGGUACCACCACCUCCCCUCCAAGCCGUGCGGUGUUUGUCGGGGCAGGAGAGGGGCACACGUUGCCACCCUCAGCCCAGCACUUCUCCCAGAAAUGAGUUCGCCCCCAGCAGCUGCAGCAGCGCCUCAGGUCCUGCUCAGCGCCUCCUCCCAGCGCGCGGCCCCCGGGGGGGGGGGGGGGGGGGUGUGGGGUGCCGGCACCUCGGGGGGCAGAGCUGCUGUGUGGUGGGGAGCCCUGCCACCACCCCGCCCCUGAGCGCAGCAGCUGGUUUCAUUCUGACUGCACAACCAGAUCUCGCUUCCUUUAUCUCGCUGUUAAGAACUUUAUUGUUUUUACAGCUCCUUAACCGCCCCCUCGUUUGCACCAAGCCCCCUGGCGAAGUGCUUCACCUGCAGGCGCAGAUCCAGCUGCCACCGCUCACAGCAGUGGGGGCUCCUCUGGGAGGGGAGAUCCUGGCCCCACUCAGAGCCUCCUGCAGCCCCAGCCCUGCGCUGCAGGAACCAGACGCACACCUGAGGGGCAGCCUCGGGGCUGUGUCUCCGAGAGGCACCGUCCCGGUACCGGCGUUCCCCACACGGCGCCGCCUCAGGCCGUGCCCAGAGCCGCCCUGCAGCCGGGGCCGCGCUCUGCGCUCAGGCUCAGCUCACGGCUCCCCCGCACUGAGGCGGCAACACCGCGGGCCCGGGGCAGCGCCGGGGCUGAGCCGAGCCCCCGGGACCCCCCGGGACCCCCCGGCGCCAGCCCCGUCCCCGCCCCCCCCCCCCCGUUACCUGCGGGCGCUGCGGGUGCCCGCGGCCUCUGGCGCCCCGUCGCGGCUCGGCCCCGCUACGUCACUUCCGCGCGUCGCCAGCCCCGUGGAGGGGAGCUCCCACAGUGCCCCGCGCCCGGGCGGCACCAUC